GAAACAUCAUCACCUCUUCAUUAUAAAUCCAAAACUGGGGAAGAAGUAGGAGUCAAUAAAUGUGUGACAAAAGAUCUCCAAAAGAGAAGUAGUUUUGGUGGUAUAUCUUCAGCAGUGGUAAAGAUAUAUUGCCAGAUUGCAUUUUCAACCUAUGCACAUGCUUGAGCAUUUCAAUGGAAAAUAUUGCUCAACUCACGCAAAAACAUGGGGACGGAACUAUGAGCCUUCCUCCCCACCUAGUGGUGAAAUGGCAGACCAACACAAAAUGCGAGUGAGUAGUGAGUGGAAUUCUGCAGCACGGAGACGGCACGCUGAAUGGCUGACACUGCACAGAUUUCAUGCUUGGGUUGUUUAUGUGGCACUUCAGUGGAGACAGCAGCUGAGUGUCUUGGGCCUUAUAUGCCUGGCUUCCCGCUGAAGAGCUGAAGCAGAGUGGAAGGUGCUGUGACAUGACCAGCAGUGAGAAGAUGGUGCAGUGGCACCAGAGGAAAAUCAAAUGAAAAGUGUUCACCUCGGCAGCUACUGAGAAUGCUGGAGAAAAAAAAGCAGAAUUUGGGAC